CAAAGUAUAACAGAAUGUCUUUUUUGGGGGGUGAUAGAGCUGUUUUGUUUAGGUUGAAAGAAUUACUGUUUAGAAUAUUGAUUUAAUUUUCUUAAAAAAAAAAAAAAAAAAAAAAGUGAUUGUGAUGAGUGUAAGAGAACUGGUGCCAGCUUUAAUGAUCUGGAAGUGCCUGGGAGAGGAAGACUUGUGUUUUCUACAUGCUGGUUCUCAUGGAGGUACCCAACUAAAAAUAUCAAUCUUCUGGACGAAGCCCACAAUUCCUGUAUGAACUCCAGAGGAAAAAAAACGUGCUCUUGAAGAACAGGACCUCUCAUAAAUCAGACCAUGCGUCUGAGAGCAUUGCCCAGACACUGCUUGAACUCUGGAAGAUCAGUGCUAUGACUGUUGCCCUGAGAAGCCUGUUACAGCGCUUGACCACCCUCUCAAUGAAGAACCUUUUUCUGAUAUCCAGCCUGAAUCUACCCUGUUGUAGCUCCAAGCUGUUCCCUUGGGUUCUGUUGCUGUCAUCGAAAAGAGAUCAUGCCUCUUCCCUGCACCUCCCUCAUAAGGAAGCUGUAGCUGCUGUGAAGUAUCCUCUCAGUCUCCCCUUUAGACUGAAUAAACCAAGAGACACUUUGGCUAUUCCUUAGUUGUCUUCCCCUCAACACCCUUCACCAUCUUUAUUGUCCCCCUUUUGACACUCAGUAGUAGCUUUAUG